rnacentral:rRNA from 1 species
CAGUCGCCGCGGUAAUACGUAGGUCCCGAGCGUUGUCCGGAUUUAUUGGGCGUAAAGGGAGUGUAGGCGGUCUCUUAAGUCUGAUGUGAAAGCCCACGGCUCAACCGUGGAGGGUCAUUGGAAACUGGGAGACUUGAGUGCAGAAGAGGAGAGCGGAAUUCCAUGUGUAGCGGUGAAAUGCGUAGAUAUAUGGAGGAACACCAGUGGCGAAGGCGGCUCUCUGGUCUGUAACUGACGCUGAGGCUCGAAAGCGGGGGGAGCAAACAGGAUUAGAUACCCGCGUAGUCCCUGUCUCUUAUAC